CAGAGAUCAUGCCCUCACGGGUAGACCUCCCACCCUGUGUUAUAUACUAUUGUUGCUUUGGCAGGCCGCCUUCGGGCUCCCGGCUUCGGCUGGGGUGCGCCUGCCAGAGGACCCCCCAACUCUUAAUAUUUAUGUGUCGUCUGAGUACUAUAUAAUAAGUUA
rnacentral:misc_RNA from 1 species